AUGACAGUUAGAAAAAUCUGUUUAUUUUCUAAAUCUAAAUUCGGUGUAAAAUUUUCCGAAUUAUAUACAUGCUAAUGGAAUUGCGGUUUUAAUAUAUUGAGUAUUUAUGUGCAGUAAAUUCCGUAACUGUUUCCUUAUAUAAAUCUAAAACAUUUUCUUCUCUUUCAUUUUUAAGUAGGUACGUGGGCUAUAAAACUUAAAGUUAUGAAGUGAAAGUUAUAAAAAUCUAAACAUGGGUAAAACUAGCAAAGUAGUCGUAUGUGGCAUGAAAGGUGUGGGGAAAACUGCGAUAUUAGAACAGCUUAUAUAUGGCAGCGUGAAUUUGAAGUCAUCGUUUUACCCCACUAUCGAAGAUAUUUAUGUGGCCAAUAUAGAAACAGAUCGAGGCACAAAAGAACGCGUAUGUUUCUAUGACACUGCGGGCUUGGAGCCCCCCCUCACAGGCGAGUUAAAAGGUCCACCACAGUCACCGACAAUGCAGCUGACAACCAACCAAGUACUCCAGAGGCAUUACCUUGGCUUUGCAGAGGGCUUCGUGAUGGUGUAUGACACUACGCGACCGGAGUCCCUCGACGUACUUAUGUAUUUGAAGAAGGAUAUUGAUAGGAAUAAGGAUAAAAAGGAGGUCGUAAUGCUAGUAAUCGGGAAUCGAACAGGCCCAGAUGUAGUCAACAGUCUUGAAAACACAUGCUCGAAAGCGUCCAACUGGUGCGCUAGAGAGAAGGUAAGGCAUUUCGAAGUAUCCGCCAUGGACCGAGCGUCAUUAUAUGAACCAUUCAUUUUUAUGACGUCAAAACUAAACCCGGUUCAAAAUAAAACGGCGUUCCCACAAUUGAGUACGUUAAGUAAACUUACGCAGAAAAAUAAUCGAAGUGACGCGAUGUAACAUUACCUUUUUAAUCUAUGCCCUUUUUGCUAUCAUCCAUAGAGAUUUUUGGCACUGGUAACCCUAGCGGUUAUAUAAGCUUCUUGUGUAAGAGCCUUCAGUGACGGUCAAACAUUUUUUUUGUUAAAAUAGGACAGAUUAAAAUAUUUACAAAUGUGCUGUUAAUUAAGAAUUGGAUAACAAUUUAUAAUGUUUUUGGACACCUGUCUCUACCGCUUUUUCUUGAUCUAAUGAAAAUGUUUGUGAAAAAAAACACAAUUUGAAUUGUCUCUUCAAAUCCGUUUGACCGUACGAAGGGCUUACGAAAUUCAAUACAAUUUCCAUCUUCAAGAGAUUCCAUUAAUUUCAUAAAAUGUCAUUGUGUAGCUUCUUAAAAUGAUUUUAGAUUUGAUUAUAUUAAUCAUAAUUAUUAAUUCUAUAAGGAUAAGCAUUUCUUUAAAACUAGUAUGUUUAGAUAAAAACCACCUAAAAUGAUCUGAUUGAAAGCAAAUUAAUUUAUCAAAAAUAUUUAAUAUUAUGUACUUAUUUAUUGGAAUUUUACUUAUGUAUUAUUUAUUGUGUAGAAAAAUUUACAAACAUAAAAAAUAGGUAUGGCAAGUUGUUAAAGGUGACCACUCAUGAUUCUAUUGAAAUCUAAAGCCUGAUUUUCAUGGUAAACAUUUGUUAGGCAAAAUUGGAUCAUGUUGAAUUUGAUAUUUUUGGUUUUAUGGCAUUCAAAUGCUUAUAAAUUUAUAAAGAACUAGCGGUCCGCACAGGCUUCGCCCGUGGUACAUAUGAAAAAUAGAUGUUGGCUGAUUCUCAUAGAUACCAGAUAAGCACAAAAAAUUUCAUCAAAAUCGGUCAAGCCGUUUCGGAGGAGUAUGGCAACGAAAACUGUGAUACGAGAAUUUUAUAUAUUAGAUAGAAACAAUUCGAUCACGAGGCAGGGUUCGAAUCCGCGGCUUUCGCCCGUGCCGGGUGAACUCUCGGUCACCCGUAAUCCCGACAGAGCAAUCGAAUUUAUUCUACUCUUUCGGUUUUAUGUGUUGGGACAUCCUACGUCUUCUGUUUCAAUGCUAUUAAACUAAAUAUCUAAUUGGAAAUAUCUUUCGGGCAAUCUGCAUGUUGCAGAGUUGAUGUUGUAAUUUAAAAUUUUCUUUCUCGAAUCCCGAGUGGCAACUGUUAAACAAAUGUUUACCAUAACACGAGGCUUAAAUAUCAUCGAAUUUAAGCUAGUUUAAAUUGCGGUAUAUGUACUAUUUAUUGCUUUUUUGCACUUUUAACUGAAAUUAUUUAGCAUUUUAAACAAGCAGGUAUGUUAUAUUUAAGUUAAAAAUGUUUAAACGUGAUUUAUGACAUUCAAAUAUCAUAUAAUCAGUAUUUUAUUUAUAUAUGUAUUUAAAUACUUUAUUAUGUACUUAAUUUGCCCCAUAAAAUGUAAAUAUGUUUUAUCAUUCAUCUCAUAUAAUGAGAAAAUUUGGGGCAUAGAUUUUAUUAAUGUACUUUGAUAGCAGAAUUUGUAGAAAUAAGACUAAUUAACAUAUGUAUUAUAUACUAGACUACACAACGGUUAUAUUUAUAAAUACAUAUUAUGUUUAUGUAGUGUGUAUAUUGAUUCUUAGAAUAAAAUAAAUAAAUAAGCAAAGAUAAGAACGAACACAUUCGUGUAUCUUAGUGUAAAUCCGUGUCCUCUGGACCUAUUUUUAUAACAAAAUAUGUUAGCCUCCCGUUUUAUAAUAUUUUGAUUUAUAUAAAAAAUGUA